rnacentral:rRNA from 1 species
AGGAUAAACGCUGGCGGCGUGCAUGAGACAUGCAAGUCGAACGGACACUUGGGGCUUGCUCCAAGUGUUAGUGGCGGACGGCUGAGUAACGCGUAGGUGACCUGCCCCGAAGUGGGGAAUAACUGCCCGAAAGGGUGGCUAAUACCGCAUGUGGUGGUGUGUUCAUUCACACCAGUAAAGCCGCAAGGCGCUUCGGGAUGGGCCUGCGUCCGAUUAGCUCGUUGGUGGGGUAACGGCUCACCAAGGCGACGAUCGGUAGGUGGUCUGAGAGGACGAUCACCCAGACUGGGACUGAGACACGGCCCAGACUCCUACGGGAGGCAGCAGUCGGGAAUUUUGCGCAAUGGACGAAAGUCUGACGCAGCAACGCCGCGUGAGGGAUGAAGGCCUUCGGGUUGUAAACCUCUUUUAUCAGGGAAGAUAAUGACGGUACCUGAUGAAUAAGUCACGGCUAACUACGUGCCAGCAGCCGC